AUAAAAGUAUACAGUCAGUCCACUAGCCAAUACACUGCCUAUAUUUGUGGGUCAACGAAUUCCGGGCCGGAUCCAGGUCUGCCUCCCGGCAAAUUAGGGUGGGCACAUUCGUGGGUUUAUAAACCAGCUCAAUGAAAUUUGUUUGGUUCGGUUGGGUUGUAAAUUAAAAAAAAUUAUUUUUGAGGAGAAACACCACCAUCCGUACAGUAAUUAGAUUGUAUUAGGUUGAAGUAUUAUUAAUCCUAUUGAAUCCGACAUCCGAAUAUCAACAAUUCUUAAACAUAGAUCUAUUUUACAUACACAUAUAUAUAAAUAUAAUAGUUAUUAAACACGCUUGGUUUAUUUAUAUUUAUGAAAUUUAAAUAUUAAGUAAUAAAUAAUGAUUCUACAACACCAAAUUCACAAGAUAAGUUUAAUACUACAUUAGGGAAUUGCUAUUUGUAUUAAAAAAAUCUCAUUUUGUGCUCCAAACUUUCUAUAAUUAAAAAGAAAAAUACACUUGUGAAGAAUGUAGAAUUGGAUUUUAAAGUGCUAAUAAUAGUUUUCUUACAUUAUUACAUGAAUAUUUAGAGUGCUAAUUUCACUUCACUUCGCUACAUGUAUUUUAGAUUAUUUGUCACUUAUACUCUCUUUAGGAAUAAGAAAUAAAAUAAAUAAUCAAAACCCGUUGAACCGCUCAACCCAACCCACCAUAGAAAUUAGAAUCGUUUGAGUAAGUUGAUUUGCACAUUUUCUUGAGUAAAAAUGAGUUUCAAUAAUGUAAAAAUAUAUUAUGAAGUAAGCCACCAAAUAUAUGUCCAACGAUCUCAAUCCAUAAAUAUAUAAAACUAAUCUUAGCUUAAUUACGUGCGUAGCCUCAAUUUUAAUUUUCAAAAUCUUUUAUGGCCGCAACUUGCUUAAUGCUUUACCAUUCCUUUGACAAAAUAAAACAAAAGAGUAAGGUCAUCUCUAACCGAAGGGUCCAAAGGGCCAGAGGGCCGAAAAUAGCCCUAAAACCGUCUCCAACCAAGGGCUAGGCCAGAGGGCUCUGGAAUCUGGAAGGGCCCCACGAGAUCGGAGAGGGCUGGAGGGCUGGCUGCUUUCGGCCAGCCAGCCAGCCCCGGGCUGGCUAUUUUUUUUUUUUAAUGUUUUCCUAUUGCUGUCGGUUAUAACCGACAGCGUUAAAGAAUAAUUUUUAAUACUGUCGGUUAUAACCGACAGUAAUAGUUAUUCAAAGGAAAAUUUUUUAUUUUUAAUUACUAUUAGUGUCAGUUAUAACCGACACUAAUAGUUUGAAUUUUUUUGAAUAUAACGGCUUGUAUUAACUUUUUUUUUUAUAUAUAUAUAUGAAUUUAAACUUCUUUUUUUCCCCUUUUUUUCCUUUUCAUAUGAAUCAAAUUUUGUUUCAUAUUUUUUUUCAAUUCUAUUUUACAAAAUUUGUUUCAUUUUUUUUUAAAUUCCAUUUUUUUCCUAUAACUUCUAUUUCACAAAAUUUGUUUCAAUUUUUUUUAAAUUCUAUUUUUUUCCUAUAACUUCUAUUUUACAAAAUUUGAUUCAUAUUUUUUUUCAUAUAACUUCUAUUUUACAAAAUUUGUUUCAUAUUUUUUUAAAUUCCAUUUUUUUUCCUAUAACUUCUAUUUCACAAAAUUUGUUUCAUAUUUUUUUUCAAUUCUAUUUUUUUCCUAUAACUUCCUAGGCCAUUUAUACAACAUUAAAUUAAAUUAAGUAACAUGAAACAACAUUAAACAAUAUGAAACAACAUUAAAUAACAUUAACCAACAUACAAAUUAUACAACAUAAAAAAACAUUUAGCCGUUAGAUUUGAUUUAAAUUGUAGUUUUUAAAUAAUAAAUUAUGUUUGGCCCUCGGUUGGAGACGGUUUUUUGUGACAGGGCUAAAACGAGUCAUCUGGCCCUUUGGCCCUUGGGUGGAGACGGAGGCCAAUAUGACCCUGUACUGUUCAUUAAAAUAUUAAUAUCUUGGGGAAUCUUGGAGGGCCAGAGGGCUAAAACGAGCCCUCUGGCCAGCCCUCGCUUAGAGAUGGCCUAAGGGAAGUAGAUAUAGAUUUUGGUACAAUUGUUAGGAACUUAGGACCAUUUGGCCAAUGUAUGUACUGCGCUGAAGGUUACUUAAAGAGUUGUCUCGCGCCCCUAGGUAUUCUCUAUCUACUUACAUGUGUCGGUUUCAGGUACAAGUACUCUUUUAUUGAAGGUUGUUCGAUCUUUUAUUGAGAGUAUGACAUAGGUUAUUUCAACGUCGUGGCGAUUGGUACUCCAACAUUGACUCGAUGCAUUUUCUCUACCUCUUCUUACCUUGAAAAAUCAGUUUGAGCAGCUUGUUCCUUUGGAACGUUAGCAUCAUCUUUCUGUAGUUCUGGCGUUCUACAUUCUGGUGGAAAAGUCAUAUAUGGUUUAUUAGACCCCCUGCUAAUUUCGUCGUUAGAAUUAGAUGGGAUUAGACUCUUGUCCAGCUGAAUCCUAGUAAGUAAUGCUAUUUUACUACGCAAUAUUUUAGAUUAUUGUCCAGGCCAAUCCUAAAUACUAAUAUAUGUUUGUUGGAACUCUGGACUAUUAUUAAGAUUAUAUUACAUUUUAAGUAUCACAUAUACUUUUAACUUAGUUAAAAAAAUCAUGACACGAAUUUUUUUUUCCAAAAAAACUCCUUCGUGCUUACCCGACAAUCAAUCUUCGAAAUUCUUUCAGGUUGUUACAAAUGGAUGACAAUCCAACCCAGAAAUUUCAAGAUAAGGAAAAAAUUUCUAAGAAAAAGAAAUCUUAAGAAUAAGAACCCAAGCCAAAUGAUGAAGUUGCUCCGUUAGCGGCGGGAUUGCGCUUAAAUAGUCCCACUUAAAGCUGAUUUGGUAUUGCUGUGCUUUGAAAAAAAAAAACUGUUUCUGCUACGCUAUGAGAAUAAGCUCAUUUUUGUUGCUUCACGUUUUCAGUUUUAUUUUUCACCAAAAACUAUGAAAAUAAGCUGUUUUUAAGUGUUUACCAAACAUUUUUUUGAGCUCAGUUUUUUUUAUACCCACUUUUUAUAAAAGCACCUUAGUUCCAAACCAAUACUUAAACUAAGAACCAGCUACACCAAACGUGACCAAAUAAGGCCUCUAUACAAAAUAUAGUAUUACAAUUUAGUAAUUUUACUCUCUACUUAUAAGCAAGUAAUAUCAUAUUUGACUCACAUAGAGUACAAAUUCGACACCUAAUUAUAACUGAUUGAUUAUGUAUGAAAAAACAUAAGGAAAAUAGCCAUAUAUAAUGACCACAUAUUAAUCAUAUAUCAAUGCCGAAAUGAUGACAUAACAACAACACAAUGAUGAUAUAAUGACAAAUAAUAAAUACUGAUUAUUUUUACAACGAAAUGUCAAAUAUGUUUAUUGUAGUUAAUUUUCUCAAACAUUUGUCAAAAUACUAGUCCAAUUUACUUAAAAUAGAGGCCAACCUUCCAAGUAAUCAUCACCUACAAAUAAGAAAAUCUUUGUAAUAUAUGAUAUUAUAUGACAAAUAUUUAUUGAAAGAAUGAUAUAUUAUUUGAACAGAUGAUAAUUAUCUAUUG
rnacentral:lncRNA from 1 species